CAGCCGCCGCGGGAAUACAGAGGGUGCGAGCGUUAAUCGGAUUUACUGGGCGUAAAGCGUGCGUAGGCGGCUUUUUAAGUCGGAUGUGAAAUCCCUGAGCUUAACUUAGGAAUUGCAUUCGAUACUGGGAAGCUAGAGUAUGGGAGAGGAUGGUAGAAUUCCAGGUGUAGCGGUGAAAUGCGUAGAGAUCUGGAGGAAUACCGAUGGCGAAGGCAGCCAUCUGGCCUAAUACUGACGCUGAGGUACGAAAGCAUGGGGAGCAAACAGGAUUAGAUACCCCGGUAGUCCCUGUCUUUUAUAC
rnacentral:rRNA from 1 species